AACGAACGCUGGCGGCAUGCCUAACACAUGCAAGUCGAACGAUACCUGCUGGUCUAUGUGCGCACUGGUGCGUAACGCGUGGGAACCUUCCCUUAUGUUCGGAAUAACUCUCCGAAAGGGUUGCUAAUACCGGAUGAUUUCUUCUGACCAAAGAUUUAUCGCCUUUGGAUGGUUCCGCGUUGGAGUAGCUAUUUGGUCAGUUAAAGGACUACCAAGGCGAAGAUCCAUAGCUGGUAUGGGAAGAUGACCAGACACACUGGGACUGAGACAAGUCGCAGACUCUUACGGGAGGACGAAGUGGGGACUAUUGGACAAUGGGCGAAAGAAUGAUCCAGCAAUGCCGUGUGAGUCUUGAAGUCGUUAGGGUUGUAAAGCUCUUUUAACAGGGAUGAUAAUGACGGUACCGGGAGAAUAAGCGCCGGCUAACUCCGUG
rnacentral:rRNA from 1 species